rnacentral:rRNA from 1 species
GACGAACGCUGGCGGCGUGCCUAAUACAUGCAAGUUGAGCGAUGAGGAGUGGUGCUUGCUCCAAUGUGAAUAGCAGCGAACGGGUGAGUAACACGUGGGGAAUCUACCUUUAAGCGUGGGACAACAUUUGGAAACGAAUGCUAAUACCGCAUAACAACUUUAAACAUAUGGUUUAAGUUUGAAAGAUGCUUUUGCUUUCACCUAUAAUUGUACCGCCUUGUAUUAGCUAGUUUGUGAGGUGAAGGCUCUCCAAGGCGGUGAUACAGUACCCGCCUGGAAAGGUGAUCGGCCCCAUUGGGACGGGACAACGGCCCAAACCCCUCCGGGAGGCAGCAGUAGGGAAUCUUCGGCAAUGGGCGAAAGUCUGACCGAGCAACGCCGCGUGAGUGAAGAAGGUUUUCGGAUCGUAAAACUCUGUUGGUAGAGAAGAACGUUGGUGAGAGUGGAAAGCUCAUCAAGUGACGGUAACUACCCAGAAAGGGACGGCUAACUACGUG